rnacentral:rRNA from 1 species
UGGGGAAUUUUGGACAAUGGGCGAAAGCCUGAUCCAGCAAUGCCGCGUGUGUGAAGAAGGCCUUCGGGUUGUAAAGCACUUUUGUCCGGAAAGAAAUCCUUGGCUCUAAUACAGUCGGGGGAUGACGGUACCGGAAGAAUAAGCACCGGCUAACUACGUGCCAGCAGCCGCGGUAAUACGUAGGGUGCAAGCGUUAAUCGGAAUUACUGGGCGUAAAGCGUGCGCAGGCGGUUUGCUAAGACCGAUGUGAAAUCCCCGGGCUCAACCUGGGAACUGCAUUGGUGACUGGCAGGCUAGAGUACGGCAGAGGGGGGUAGAAUUCCACGUGUAGCAGUGAAAUGCGUAGAGAUGUGGAGGAAUACCGAUGGCGAAGGCAGCCCCCUGGGCCAAUACUGACGCUCAUGCACGAAAGCGUGGGGAGCAAACAGGAUUAGAUACCCUGGUAGUCCACGCCCUAAACGAUGUCAACUAGUUGUUGGGGAUUCAUUUCCUUAGUAACGUAGCUAACGCGUGAAGUUGACCGCCUGGGGAGUACGGUCGCAAGAUU